AGCUCCAGAGCUCAUAAAGCACAGCCCAGCUCACCUGUGAGAACAAUGGAGCUGGCUGCUGGCGGAAUAUCCUCAAUCUCCACAACUGAGCAACUGUGUCUUUGAGCUGAGGGAGUUCCAGACCUCAUGGUGGUCAAACAGGCGGGUUGUGCAGUGAAGUAAAUGGAAGAAGACAACGUGGGGAUGCAGGAUCUGGACCUUGCUGUCCUCAAAGGAGUGUCCCUUGUCCUUGAGGUGCAGAUGUACAGCUGAGUCACAGAUCAAGCUUUGGAUUACCAUGACCUGGAUGACUGAGAACCUUCACAGACAUUUUGAUUGACACUAUUAUCAGAGCUUAAGGGACCCAAGAAAUGAUCCACAGUGCUUUUAUAGUGUCUCUUUUAAGUGCAAUAAUGUGGAAACUUCCUCAUUAUGGCUUUAAAGGUCAUCAUAGGGGCUAUUUAAAAAACAUUAACACCUGAUGUGACUGAACUCAGUUAAAGCUACUUAAAGUAAGAACAUCACCUUUAGUUAAAGCAACAUGUGGGCUAC